UCCCUGGUGGUCCAGUGGCUAAGACUCUGCACUCCCAUUGCAUGGGGCCUGGGUUCAAUCCCUGCUCAGGGAC
rnacentral:tRNA from 1 species